AUUUAUUUCAACAAAAAUAUACAUACAGUGCAUAAUGAAUAUGAUUUACACAAAAUAAAACAAAUGUGAUAUUUCUUCCAAUGCUGAUAUAAAGUGAUCUAUCUAUUUGUGGUUCCUUUCCUGGGAAUAUACAUUAUUGGUUUUUCUAGGAUAUAUAUUUAACAUAAAAAGAAAGCAAGUGUCAGCCUUUCAAAUGAAUACCUCAAGAAUCAGACAAUGCAUGAAAUUAAAAGAUAAAAUGUUCACAUAAGAAAGUAUGUGUACAAAGGAUGGCAUGUGCAGAUAUUAGAGGCAUAUUAGCCAAAUUUGAGCCUCUAGAGCCUGCAUCACAAAAGCCACACUGACACAUUGUGCCCCUUUUUACAUAUGAAUAAUUUGAAAUGUUUGUAGACAUUCUUCCAGUGCAGAAUGGUAUAUUCCUCCCUGUUUAAACACUACUGUUACCGAGAGAUAGAGUGUACUGGUGUGUACUUACAGUACUUGGCUUAAGGACAGAAGCAUUCUCCUAAGUUGCAUUUACACUAGUGUCCGUGCUCUUUGGAGCAAAAGCCCGGACAUCUUUUUCUUUAAAUAUGCACACCUGAGUAAAAAUCCAAUUUCAGGAUAAACAAUUGAAUCCUCCAUUUGAGAGAUUAAUAUUACCUUAUAUGUGUCCCUUUUUUAGUUAGGCAUUAUCUGGGUCUCUUAUAUCAGAGGCAUAAGUAAUGUAUUUCAUAGUCUUGGAAAUAAAAAUUCAAAGAGAGAUUAACAUGCCUCAUUGCUCAGAAAGACAGAGUGCAAAUUCCUGUUCUUUAACUUCAUAUUAACUGGCACACUGUAUUUUAUCUAAAAUGUUGAUUUUUAUCUUUCUAUUUUUAAAGACAGUGCUUGCUAUAGCUUGCAUCUUUGUAUGGAAAGGUGCAAUAAAAAAUACUAAUUUCAAGCUGUCAGAGAAAGAGAAGAUUAACUACACAAGGUCAUUUUAUUUAUAAGGCUAAUAUCAUAAAUACUGGGGCAUAGCUUAUGAAGAUUGGAAAUGGGCUAAAUGAAUAUGAGUUUAUGUUAAACCUGUCAAUCAAUCAGGCAAGUUCUUAGCAAAUUGAAUAUUGUUUUCCAUUGUGAGUAGUGCACACGGUAUACAGCUCCUAGAUAGUGGAGUUGUUUUGUGCCCACUCUACCUGCUUCCCUUUCUCCCUCCCUCUACCUGCCUCUCUCCACUCUACCUGUUUCCCUCCACCCUGAUGAGCAGAGUCUCUUAAACAAGAUUCCCUAACAUGUGUGGAAAGACAAACCCUGACUUGACACUCCCAAAUUUAAUUUAGUUCAUAAAAGAUUACAAAAUGUUUCUCUCAUAUUGAACUAAAAUAAUAUGGCAUUUGGUAAUCAAAUACCUAUAUCUGGGUUGUCUUAGCAUAUUGCCAUAGUUUAACUUAUUUAAUUAAACAGUCUGGGCUUCAACUGUGUUUAACUUAGUAAACAUUGGAUAUUGUGAUGUGGUUCUGUUUUACUCUCAGCAAUGCCAUAAUCAAAUGUUUAGAAAGUGAGAUGGGGCGUAUUUUAGUGAUAUUGUGAUUAACAACAUUUUCCUGACUAUAGCCCUGACAUUAUUUACACUAAGGCCAUCUUGCUAAGGGCCACUUGCAUCACAUUACUGAUAGAUUUAAACUCAUCCCUUUAAUAAUUAUUACAAUGAUCAAUAUUAGUAAUUAUGAUUAUUAAUAAAAUGUUUCCACUCAACUGUACAUACAUGCAGAUUUCAUUAAAGAAAAUAAAAUCCAACAUAAAAUUAUAAUACUCUGAUUAAAAACUACUUCAUU
rnacentral:lncRNA from 1 species